rnacentral:rRNA from 1 species
GGCGCCUCAAGUGGUAGUCGAUUUUAUUGGGCCUAAAACGUCCGUAGCCUGUUUGGUACAUUCGUGGGUAAAUCAACCAGCUCAACUGAUUGAAUUCUGCGAGCACGGCCAGACUUGGGACCGGGAGAGGUGUGGGGUACGCUCAGGGUAGGGGUAAAAUCCUGUCAUCCUGAGCGGACCACCUGUUGCGAAGGCGCCACACUAGAACGGAUCCGACGGUCAGGGACGAAGCCUAGGGGCACGAACCGG